UGUUUCGCUAAAUUAAAAUAGCAGAAUGGAAAAGCAACCUCGGCCGCACUGCAGCUUCCGUCUCGCCACCGAUAAAAUGGUAACGCCCCAAAGAUAAAACACUCCAAAGAGAAACUUGAAGACGCUGAAAGACCUGACAGAUGGGAGUAGAAAUGAGGUUUGUAGUUAAAUAACAUUCCAAGGUCAACAGGCCACAAAAGAGUCCCAGAGUCGUAAGCUGCUUAUGAGAGACAUGAAUAAGACAGCUGGAGAUGGAGACGCAGUGCUUGUGGCUGAUUGCGACUGGAGGGAUAAUGUGGCUUAGGGCACAGCGACUACAAGCUUAUUGGUAUUGCAUCUCAGAAGGGGGCACACUCAUCCUUCCAUCCUGGCCAGAUGGACACGGGCCUCUUGCUGCAGCGACCGGCUUAUACCAUGUGGAAGGGAUAACAUGACUCUGGGCUUUGCUGUAGUCAUGUGUUAAACACGCAGGCAAGGUCAGGCUACACAGACCUUGAACAGAAGUGAACAGGCCAAGAACAUUAUAUUGAAGUUCCCAGAUAAAAGAGACAGCCAGGACCAGGAAUAAAUGUCCCCUCCUUAUAGGGCCAACAGAUUUUAUCCAGCUGAUGGGGUUUUUACAUCUGGGGCGUGCUUUCGCUAUUUCGACGUCGUUUAACAGGGAGCGUUUGAGUUCUGGCAUCCCUUGUCUGGAACCCGGAAGCGAAACUAAGCUCGCCCAUGAAUUUGGGACCCGGAAGUCCCGCCUCUGCCCUCCGCCCAGCAAUUGGCCCAUGGCUUCUUUAACUGGCAGGUCAAGAACCAAUUGAGGAAUAGCAUCAGCCCCACCUCCACACAGGAGUAAUGUUAGCACUCCGGGGAUGUGUCAAAGGAGAGAUUGACAAACCACGGAGAGUCCUCAUUGCCAUGUUUCUGCCAACCUGAGUCUGGUUGCCGACUGCUCCUCCUGCUUGCUCAGUCCAAGACACACGUGAUUUUGCCAGUGUGGAAAGAUGACCAAGUACUCAAACAGGAACAGGACAAACAGAAGUUCUCAAAGAGAAGAGUUUUUGGGGACCGCCAUUUACAGCCCGGCACUUGCUACAGACUUCCUCAUCUUCAUGUGCUGGAGGUCUGCCGGCCUCCUGCUUUGGAAACGUUGAGGAGAGACUCUGAUAUUCUUGGUCUCAGAGGAAACAAAAGCCAUGUUCGUUAAAUAUGCGAGCACAGUGUUCAUGGAGGUGAACUGAAGACUAGAUGUUUCGAGACCCUUGGUGUCUCCGGAGACUCAGUAGGUAAGGGUGCUUGCUACCAAGUCUGAAGACCUGAAUUGAGUCCCCACAACCCACGUGGUGGAAGGAGAGAACCAAUUUCCACACGUUGUCUUUCGACCUCCACGUGUAUACUGUGGCACACACAUCAGCCUCGUUCUCCCACAAUAAACAGAAACGAAUAUAAAAACAAAACUUAUGGGACUCUCUGAUGCCGGAUGUGUGGGCCUGUUCUGGUUUGAGCAGUAAUCCCUCUUUGUGGCAGAAAGCGACUCAUGUUUCUGAAUCAGCCUUUUAUCUUUUAUUCAUACCCUGUGAUGUGAGGGAGCUCAGCCGAGAGCAGGGCCCUGAAUGUGUUUGAGCAGAGAAAUGAGCCCAGAGCUUAGAGUGAGAAUGCCAUAGGAUUGGGGAUGGCUCAGUGGGUCAAGUGCUUGCUGUUUGAGCACAAGGCCCCGGGUUCAAACCCCAGCAGCCCCUCGAGAGAUUCAAAUCACAGUGCUAGGAGCUGGAGACUGCCUGAUUCCAUGGCUCACUGGGAGCCAGCCUAACUCAAAGGGAAAGGUCCAGGCUCCCUGACACACCCUGCCUCAGAACAAAUAAACGGAGAAACAACACAGAAGGGCUGGAGAGAUGGCUCAGCGGUUAAGAGCCCUAA
rnacentral:sRNA from 1 species